AUGCGGGCGCGCAGGGGCUGGACGCCUGCCGGACUCCCGCGGCGCUCCGGGGCUCCGAGGCUCCGAGGCUCCGAGGCUCCGAGGCUCCGAGGCUCCGGGGCUCCGGUCCCCCCCCCCCCCCGGCGGCGGCGGCGGCGGCGGCUCCGGGCAGGCGGCGAGCGCGCUGCGGGCGGUCGCGGCGGGGCUGCAGGGGGCCGAGCUCGCGGAGGCGCGGGGCCGCCCGGGGCCGGGGGAGCGCGGGGAGGGCCGUGCGCGCCGACGGCGGCGGGAGCCCGCGGACCCCUGGGCGCCGCCGCCCCCCGACGCUUUACCUGUUGGUCCCCGCUAGCGCGCAGGGGCCGGCGGCGGCGGCGGCACCCGGGCGGCCGCAGCCUCCAUGAUCCGGGGCGGGGGCGCGGGGAUCCUGUCGGGGAGGCCUGGGCCCGCGCUCCGGGGACCCCGCCAAGUUUGCGGCUGGCUGGGGGCGGCGGGCGACGCCGGCUCGCCGCCGCCGGCGUCCUCGCCCCCACGGCCCGGGCGCGCGAGGCUCGGAGUUGGCGGCCGGCGCGGGGCCGCACUGAGCAUGCCCACUCGGCGGCCGGCCCGGCACUGGCGAGCGCGCUCCGAGCCGCCGCGCCGGGUUUUCGCAGCCGCAGAGCGCGCCGCCCGCGGGCCCGGGCGCCGGGGGUGGGGGGUCCCGGGGGGCUCGGCGCGGGGGGCGCGCCCGCGGGACCCCCCCGCCCCCCCGCGGCCGCCGCCCGGGUCGGCCUGGGCCGGAGCCUCACCUGCGCGGGGGCCGGGGCGCGGGGGCCGGGGGCGCCGAGCCCAUCGCCGCCCGCCCCGGGGCCUGGGCGCCGGGAGGCCGCGCCACCUGCCGCGAGCGCCGCGCCCCCGGGACCCGGCGGGGGAGGCGCCGCCACUUGCCCGGGGAUGAUGGCUGCCGCUUCGGGGCCCUCCCUCCGUCCCUCGGUCCCUCCGUCCCUCGCUCCGUCCCUCGGUGCCGGGAGCUGCGCAGCUGAGAGGUCUCUGAUCCUUCAAAACGCAGAGACCCUGCUGCACGCUUGCAUCGUACCCUUCCUAGAGACGGAGGAAACUGAGUCCGCGCAGCCGAGGCCCGGUGACCUGCUCAAAGCCACACGGCUGCCUCGGCCUCAUCCCAAGUUUCGGACCCAUUUUGCACCAUUUGGGGUCGGAAGGGCUGCCCUUGCCUUGCUUGUGUCCGCCCCCCCCCCCCCCCCGCACAGUGAGGAAUGUGCAGCCUGGAGGUGGUGCCACCUUCUAUAA
rnacentral:lncRNA from 1 species